UACGUAGGUGGCGAGCGUUGUCCGGAUUUACUGGGCGUAAAGGGCGCGUAGGCGGGAAUUUAAGUUAGGUGUGAAAACUCCGGGCUCAACCUGGAGAUUGCAUUUAAAACUGGGUUUCUUGAGGGCAGGAGAGGAAAGUGGAAUUCCUAGUGUAGCGGUAAAAUGCGUAGAGAUUAGGAGGAACACCAGUGGCGAAGGCGACUUUCUGGACGAUAACUGACGCUGAGGCGCGAAAGCGUGGGGAGCAAACAGGAUUAGAUACCCCGGUAGUCCCUGAGCGGGCUGGCAAGG
rnacentral:rRNA from 1 species